rnacentral:rRNA from 1 species
GACGUAGGGGGCAAGCGUUGUCCGGAUUUAUUGGGCGUAAAGGGCUCGUAGGCGGCUUAGCAAGUCAGGUGUGAAACCUCCAGGCUUAACCUGGAGACGCCAUUUGAGACUGCUAUGGCUAGAGUGCGGUAGGGGACCAUGGAAUAUCCGGUGGUAGCGGUGAAAUGCGCAGAGUAUCGGGUGGAACACCAGUGGCGAAGGCGGUGGUCUGGGCCGUAACUGACGCUCGAUGCACGAAAGCGUGGGGAGCAAACAGG